CAGAGCUAGCUGAGGUUUUAUUUUGGACACACAAAAAAGAAAAAAGCAAUUGAAUUGUUUUGUAGCUGGAGACAUGGGCAAGGGGGUAUCCCCAAGCAGUAAACUCCUCCGCAGGUGGGCUGAGGGCUAGGGCUGAGCCUCAGGUGGGUCUCCCGUUCCCUGUGCUCCCCUGCACAGCGGCCUCCCUCCCGGACUCUGGGGCAGCCGCAGGAGGGGCAGGCUGGGAGGGGCUGCCCUGGCUGUUCACUUGGGCAGGACGUCAAAGGACUCGGACACCGGACUCGGACACCGGCUUCCCGUUGCAGGUCUGGAUCUUCUUCACAACCACGGCCCUGGUGGAGCUGGUGCGGCUGAAGGAGCUGGCGCCCAUGCCAGAGCCAAAGCUGGAGCCCAGACCGUAGCUGAGGCCGGGGCUCGUGAGGCCCCCAUAGGCCGAGCUCAGCGCACCUGCAUAGCUGCUGGUGGUCUUCGUAUGGAUACUCCUGUUCUGCAUCCCAGACUCCAGCCGGCUCUCCUCGCCCUCUAGCAGCUUCCUGUAGGUGGCGAUCUCGAUCUCGAUGUCCAGGGCCAGCUUGACGUUCAUCAGCUCCUAGUACUCACGCAGCUGCCGCGCCAUGUCCUGCUUGGCCGGCUGGAGGGCGGCCUCCAGCUCGGACAGCUUGGCGUUGGCACCCUUAACUGCCAGCUCCUCAGGCUGCUCGGCAUCUGUGAUGGCGGCCUCCAGGGAAGCCCUCUGGCCUUUGAGGCACUCAGUCUCAGCCUGGAGCCCACUGAUGUUCCAGUUUAUCUCGGAGGUCUCAGUCUUUGUAUGCUGCACGUCAUCCCAGUGCCUCCCAGCCAGCGCCUGCAGCUUCUCAUACUUGAUCUGGAGGCAAACUUGUUGGUGGGGUUCUUGAUCUGCUCCUUCUCCUGGGUGCGCAUGGCCUGGAUGUUGAGAUCCACCUCCUAAGGGGGCUCAGCAGACUCUGGUUGACUGUGACAGCAGUGAUGCCUCCCAUGCCGCUGGUCCCACCAUAGCCUCUGCCCAGGCCAGCCCAGAAGCUGCUGCUGCCCAGUAGGGAGAAGCUCUAAGAGCUGAUGCAGGCACUGGGCCCACUCGUAUAGGA
rnacentral:lncRNA from 1 species